rnacentral:misc_RNA from 1 species
UUUCCGUAGGUGAACCUGCGGAAGGAUCAUUGUCGAAACCUGCCCAGCAGAACGACCCGCGAACUUGUAUAAACAACCGGGGGCGGGGGGCGUUCUCGCCCCGUGCCCCCGAACGGCGGGGAGACACUCGUGCCGUCUUGCGGAACAACGAACCCCGGCGCGGUCUGCGCCAAGGAACUUCAACUAAAGAGUGCCUCCGGUCGCCUCGGAAACGGCGUGCGUGCCGGGGGCGAAUCUUGUGCAAAACCAUAACGACUCUCGGCAACGGAUAUCUCGGCUCUC